AAGACAAUACCAACAAGAAGACGAAGUCCAAAGCCAACAAGCUGCACUCCCAGGAAUAGUAGGGGAGGAAGCCCCACGAAAAGAGAAAUAGAGGUUGACAUUUCAACCAACUAUGUUGCUAGCCAACCCACCAAGGUCCCAUACAACAUGGAGAAUAAAUUCCCACGAGCGUAUAAGCUAGUACGAAGGCAUAGGAGGUCAAACAGCGUAUUUGAAAGAAUAAGUCCGGUAGAGCCGAGGCACAGGUAUCAACAACAGCCUUACGAGCCUCGGGUGAGGCCACAGCCCCAUCUUCUAUAGCUUAACAGCCGAAGGAAAGGCAUGAAAAUGUCCCCAUGUUGCUCUACCAAGAAAUAGCACCAAAGAAGAAAAGAAGAGGCCAAAAACCAAGCUGGUCUUUCUCACCUUCCACCCAGAUAUGAGGCCGAUGAAAAUAAUAACUCAGAUGAACAUCACAGGUUUUGCAACUUGGAAGAUGAUGAUGAGAAUCUGCCAUUCUCAAGAGAAUUGAUGAGUGCCUAGGUGUUGAGCCACUACGUCAUGCUUAAGAUACCAAAGUACGACGAGCAAAGCAACCCGAAGAAACAUUUGAACGCUUAUAUGACCCACAUCAGCCUAAGAAGUACCACCCCAGCAGUAAAAUGCAGAGCUUUCCACUUGACACUUAGUGAAGCGGACAAAUUUUGGUAUAGUAGGCUACCACUUGGGGAGCAUGAGGAGUUGGUCGGAAUUUAAAACCACCUUUUUGAAGAGAUUCGAUGUGAGCAAAGAAAGAG
rnacentral:lncRNA from 1 species